AAGUGACUUAAGAGGCAACUCUUAACUGGCCAGGUAAGGAAAAGCCGAGAGGUUCAAGCUUACAGGGCAGAAAGCCCCGCAGAGUAGCGCUAAACAUAGUGGGGCGGCGGGAUCGGCGGUAGCGCCUUACAACGACGAUCCAU
rnacentral:sRNA from 10 species